AUAGCGUAUAUUAAAGUUGUUGCAGUUAAAAAGCUCGUAGUUGAACUUCAGACCUGGUCGGGCGGUCCGCCUCACGGUGUGUACUGUCUGACUGGGCCUUACCUCUUGGUGAGCCGGCGUGCCCUUUAUUGGUGUGCGUUGGGGAACCAGGACUUUUACCUUGAGAAAAUUAGAGUGUUCAAAGCAGGCUUAUGCCUGAAUACAUUAGCAUGGAAUAAUAAAAUAGGACGUGUGGUUCUAUUUUGUUGGUUUCUAGAGUCGCCGUAAUGAUUAAUAGGGAUAGUUGGGGGCAUUGGUAUUGAGUCGCUAGAGGUGAAAUUCUUGGAUUGACUCAAGACCAACUACUG
rnacentral:rRNA from 1 species